UUUAUUUUCUUGAAGACAUCAACACCUUCUAACUGCUCCAAUGCCAUCAUGCUUCUGAUCCCAGCUGGAGUGCAUCAACUUUCAUGAGAUAAUGAUCCAGUGGACGUGCCAAUGACAAGGUCAUAGAAGAAGCUAUGCUUGAGGAAGCUAUGAGUGACUGAAGGAUUUCAUUUUCCAUACUAUCAUGUUUCAACUUUCAUUGGCCAGUCAUCAAAGAAGUACGAUGUGUUUGGAUUUGGGGUUCUGUUAGUCAAGUUGAUCACUGGUCAUAAGGCGUUGGAUUUUGGAAGAGUAGCAAAUCAGAAAGGUGGAAUGCUCGACUAGGUUAAGAAACUUCAUAAAGAAAAGCAGCUACCUUUCUUUGGUGGACAAAGGCCUGGGUAGCAACUAGGACAGGGUUGAGUCAGUACCACUUGUCUCACUGCCCUAAAAUGUUCGAGGUGAUCAGGUGGAAGGAGACGGGCUCACACAGAGAUGGG